CGUAGGUGGCAAGCGUUGUCCGGAUUUACUGGGCGUAAAGAGCGCGCAGGCGGUCGUUCAAGUCGCGUGUGAAAGCCCCCGGCUCAACUGGGGAGGGUCACGCGAUACUGAUCGACUCGAAGGCAGGAGAGGGUAGUGGAAUUCCCGGUGUAGUGGUGAAAUGCGUAGAUAUCGGGAGGAACACCAGUGGCGAAGGCGACUACCUGGCCUGUUUCUUGACGCUGAGGCGCGAAAGCUAGGGGAGCAAACGGGAUUAGAUACCCCGGUAGUCCUAGCCGUAAACGAUGGACACUAGGUGUUGGUGGUAUCAACCCCGCCAGUGCCGAAGCUAACGCAUUAAGUGUCCCGCCUGGGGAGUACGGCCGCAAGGCUA
rnacentral:rRNA from 1 species